rnacentral:rRNA from 1 species
GAUGAACGCUGGCGGCGUGCCUAAUACAUGCAAGUCGAGCGAACAGAUCAGGAGCUUGCGCCUCUGACGUUAUCGGCGGACGGGUGAGUCACACGUGUAUGACCUAACUAUCAGACUGGGAUAACAUCGGGAAACCAGAUCUACUACCGGAUGAUAUAUUGCACCGCAUGGGUCAAUCGUGAAAGACGGUUUUGCUGUCACUUAUAGACUGAUCCGGGCCGCAUUAGCUAGUUGGUAAGGUAACGGCUUACCCAGGCAACGAUGGUUAACCGCCCCGAGAGGGUGGUCCCACACACUGGAAGUGAGAAUGGGCACACACACUUGGAGGAGGACGCGGUAGGGACUCCUACGCGAUGCACGAGAGCGUGACAGUGCACCGCCGCGUGAGUGAUGAAGCACUUCGGAUGCGAGAGCUAUGUAGGUAGGAAGGAAGAAAAGCGUAAGUAACUAUGAUCGUAUUGACGGUACCGGAAGAAAAAGCCACGGCUAACUACGUG